rnacentral:rRNA from 1 species
GAUGAACGCUGGCGGCGUGCCUAACACAUGCAAGUCGAACGAGCGAGGGAUGAAACCUAGUGAUUCCCGAGCGAGUGGCGGACGGGUGAGUAACGCGUGGGCAACCUGCCUUACAGAGGGGGAUAACAGUCUGAAAAGACUGCUAAUACCGCAUAAGCACACAGUACCGCAUGGUACAGGGUGAAAAGAUUUAUCACUGUAAGAUGGACCCGCGUCUGAUUAGCCAGUUGGUGAGGUAACGGCUCACCAAAGCGACGAUCAGUAGCCGACCUGAGAGGGUGAUCGGCCACAUUGGGACUGAGACACGGCCCAGACUCC